rnacentral:rRNA from 1 species
GGGUGGCGACUGUUUACUAAAAACACAGGGCUCUGCGAAGUCGCAAGACGACGUAUAGGGUCUGACGCCUGCCCGGUGCCUGAAGGUUAAAAGGAGGGGUGAGAGCUCCGAAUUGAAGCCCAGGUAAACGGCGGCCGUAACUAUAACGGUCCUAAGGUAGCGAAAUUCCUUGUCGGGUAAGUUCCGACCUGCACGAAUGGCGUAACGACUUCCCCGCUGUCUCCAACGUAGACUCAGCGAAAUUGAAUUGCCUGUCAAGAUGCAGGCUUCCCGCGGUUAGACGGAAAGACCCCGUGCACCUUUACUACAGCUUCGCACUGGCAUCAGGAUUGUGAUGUGCAGGAUAGGUGGUAGGCUUUGAAGCAGAGACGCUAGUCUUUGUGGAGCCUCCCUUGAGAUACCACCCUUCGCACUCUUGAUGUCUAACCGCGGUCCGUUAUCCGGAUCCGGGACCCUGCGUGGCGGGUAGUUUGACUGGGGCGGUCGCCUCCUAAAGAGUAACGGAGGCGCGCGAAGGUUGGCUCAGAGCGGUCGGAAAUCGCUCGUUGAGUGCAAUGGCAGAAGCCAGCCUGACUGCGAGACUGACAAGUCGAGCAGAGUCGAAAGACGGCCAUAGUGAUCCGGUGGUCCCGAGUGGAAGGGCCAUCGCUCAACGGAUAAAAGGUACGCCGGGGAUAACAGGCUGAUACUGCCCAAGAGUCCAUAUCGACGGCAGUGUUUGGCACCUCGAUGUCGGCUCAUCUCAUCCUGGGGCUGGAGCAGGUCCCAAGGGUACGGCUGUUCGCCGUUUAAAGAGGUACGUGAGCUGGGUUUAGAACGUCGUGAGACAGUUCGGUCCCUAUCUGCCGUGGGUGUAGGAUACUUGAGAGGAGUUGCCCCUAGUACGAGAGGACCGGGGUGAACGAUCCACUGGUGGACCUGUUGUCGUGCCAACGGCAGUGCACGGUAGCUAUGAUCGGACAGGAUAACCGCUGAAGGCAUCUAAGCGGGAAGCCCCCCUCAAAACAAGGUAUCCCUGAGGGCCGUGGUAGACCACCACGUCGAUAGGCCGGAGAUGUAAGCGCAGUAAUGCGUUCAGUUGACCGGUACUAAUGGCCCGAUAGGCUUGAUUUG